AGUGAACGCUGGCGGUAGGCCUAACACAUGCAAGUCGAACGGCAGCACAGGAGAGCUUGCUCGCUGGGUGGCGAGUGGCGGACGGGUGAGGAAUACAUCGGAAUCUACUCUGUCGUGGGGGAUAACGUAGGGAAACUUACGCUAAUACCGCAUACGACGCACGGGUGAAAGCAGGGGAUCUUCGGACCUAGCGCGAUUGAAUGAGCCGAUGUCGGAUUAGCUAGUUGGCGGGGGAAAGGCCCACCAAGGCGACGAUCCGUAGCUGGUCUGAGAGGAUGAUCAGCAACACUGGAACUGAGACACGGUCCAGCCUCCUACGGGAGGCAGCAGUGGGGAAGAUUGGACAAUGGGCGCAAGCCUGAUCCAGCCAUACCGCGUGGGUGAAGAAGGCCUUCGGGUUGUAAAGCCCUUUUGUUGGGAAAGAAAUCCAGCUGGCUAAUACCCGGUUGGGAUGACGGUACCCAAAGAAUAAGCACCGGCUAACUUCGUGCCAGCCGCCGCCGUAA
rnacentral:rRNA from 1 species